rnacentral:rRNA from 1 species
UACGGAGGGAGCUAGCGUUGUUCGGAAUUACUGGGCGUAAAGCGCACGUAGGCGGCUUUGUAAGUUAGAGGUGAAAGCCCGGGGCUCAACCCCGGAAUUGCCUUUAAGACUGCAUCGCUUGAAUCCAGGAGAGGUGAGUGGAAUUCCCAGUGUAGCGGUGAAAUGCGUAGAUAUUGGGAGGAACACCAGUGGCGAAGGCGGCUCACUGGACCGGAACUGACGCUGAGGCGCGAAAGCGUGGGGAGCAAACGGG